CUACACAUGCAGUCGAGCGGUAGAGAGAAGCUUGCUUCUCUUGAGAGCGGCGGACGGGUGAGUAAUGCCUAGGAAUCUGCCUGGUAGUGGGGGAUAACGUUCGGAAACGGACGCUAAUACCGCAUACGUCCUACGGGAGAAAGCAGGGGACCUUCGGGCCUUGCGCUAUCAGAUGAGCCUAGGUCGGAUUAGCUAGUUGGUGAGGUAAUGGCUCACCAAGGCGACGAUCCGUAACUGGUCUGAGAGGAUGAUCAGUCACACUGGAACUGAGACACGGUCCAGACUCCUACGGGAGGCAGCAGUGGGGAAUAUUGGACAAUGGGCGAAAGCCUGAUCCAGCCAUGCCGCGUGUGUGAAGAAGGUCUUCGGAUUGUAAAGCACUUUAAGUUGGGAGGAAGGGUUGUAGAUUAAUACUCUGCAAUUUUGACGUUACCGACAGAAUAAGCACCGGCUAACUCUGUGCCAGCAGCCGCGGUAAUACAGAGGGUGCAAGCGUUAAUCGGAAUUACUGGGCGUAAAGCGCGCGUAGGUGGUUUGUUAAGUUGGAUGUGAAAUCCCCGGGCUCAAC
rnacentral:rRNA from 1 species